CGGACGGGUGAGUAAUGUCUGGGAAACUGCCUGAUGGAGGGGGAUAACUACUGGAAACGGUAGCUAAUACCGCAUAACGUCGCAAGACCAAAGAGGGGGACCUUCGGGCCUCUUGCCAUCGGAUGUGCCCAGAUGGGAUUAGCUAGUAGGUGGGGUAACGGCUCACCUAGGCGACGAUCCCUAGCUGGUCUGAGAGGAUGACCAGCCACACUGGAACAGAGACACGGUCCAG
rnacentral:rRNA from 1 species